GCACGCAACGGAAAAGAAUGUGUAAACGGAAGUGUCGCGUUCGUUGGUUUUGUGACAAACCUGAGUUUUUAACCAGAAAUUAAGUGUACAUACAUAUGAAUACACGAAGCAAACACAUACACAAAGAGCGAAGUUGAUUUAAUUAAUUUGGCUAUGGGAAAAUCUACUCCUGUAACGUGAAUUUUCUUCAUGCACGAAAAUGUUCAGUGCAGCAUUGCAACACAGUUAGAAGGAACGUGCGGACGACGGUAGUUGGACGAUACGAAUCGAAGGUGGUACGUAUUGUGUAGGUGAUUACCGGUGCGGAUUGCGCGACAAAUACGUGAACGAAGAACAAAAAUUGCACAAAAGCACAAAAUAGGUUAAAAAUUAAUAAGAAAAAUCGAAAACAGCGAGAAAAUUAAUAAAAACAACGAAUAACGAAGUUUACAUGUGAAAAAAUGCCACAAUUGUUUUGUUGCGUGCCACGGCAACAACAACAAAAGCUUAGCGAAACAAUUGCGUGCGUGAAAAUAACGAGUACAUUACCACACAACGUAAUCAUGUGAUUUAGUUAGUUUAAAAUGGGAAAAAAAUUUUGAACUGCUGUUCGAAAUCACACGAAAAAAGUGCGAAAUUUAACAAACAAAAAAAUCAGCUUGACGCCGCCGCUUACCGCUAAAUGACCAAAGCCAGAAGCCUUGCCUGCCUAAGGAACUGCAUAAAACGUUUAACAAAACAACAGCAAAAACUAAAUUAAAAAUAAAAACAAAA